GGGGAAUUUUCCGCAAUGGGCGCAAGCCUGACGGAGCAAUACCGCGUGAGGGAGGAAGGCUCUUGGGUCGUAAACCUCUUUUCUCAGGGAAGAACACAAUGACGGUACCUGAGGAAUAAGCAUCGGCUAACUCCGUGCCAGCAGCCGCGGUAAUACGGAGGAUGCAAGCGUUAUCCGGAAUGAUUGGGCGUAAAGCGUCCGUAGGUGGUUUUGUAAGUCUGUGGUUAAAGCGUGUAGCUCAACUACAUAACGGCCAUGGAAACUACAUAACUAGAGUCAAGUAGGGGUAGAGGGAAUUCCCAGUGUAGCGGUGAAAUGCGUAGAGAUUGGGAAGAACACCGGUGGCGAAAGCGCUCUACUGGACUUGUACUGACACUGAGGGACGAAAGCUAGGGGAGCGAAAGGGAUUAGAUACCCCUGUAGUCCUAGCCGUAAACGAUGGAUACUAGGUGUUGCCCGUAUCGACCCGGGCAGUGCCGUAGCUAACGCGUUAAGUAUCCCGCCUGGGGAGUACGCACGCAAGUGUGAAACUCAAAGGAAUUGACGGGGGCCCGCACAAGCGGUGGAGUAUGUGGUUUAAUUCGAUGCAACGCGAAGAACCUUACCAGGGCUUGACAUGUCUGGAAGUCCGGCGAAAGUUGGAUGUGCCUUCGGGAGCCAGAACACAGGUGGUGCAUGGCUGUCGUCAGCUCGUGUCGUGAGAUGUUGGGUUAAGUCCCGCAACGAGCGCAACCCUCGUUUUUAGUUGCCAUCAUUAAGUUGGGCACUCUAGAAAGACUGCCGGUGACAAACCGGAGGAAGGUGGGGAUGACGUCAAGUCAGCAUGCCCCUUACGCCCUGGGCUACACACGUACUACAAUGCUAUGGACAAAGAGCAGCCAACUGGCGACAGUGCGCUAAUCUCAUAAACCAUGGCUCAGUUCAGAUUGCAGGCUGCAACUCGCCUGCAUGAAGGCGGAAUCGCUAGUAAUCGCAGGUCAGCAUACUGCGGUGAAUCCGUUCCCGGGCCUUGUACACACCGCCCGUCACACCAUGGGAGUUGGUCACGCCCGAAGUCGUUACUCUAACCGUAAGGAAGAGGACGCCGAAGGUAGGGCUGAUGACUGGGGUGAAGUCGUAACAAGGUAGCCGUACCGGAAGGUGUGGCUGGAUCACCUCCUU
rnacentral:rRNA from 1 species